UCAGUUCGUGUUUAGCUCCGUUCAGUGUUGGUGCGGGAGUUGUAGGCUUGAAGCCUAGUGCGUGAUUCGUGUAAAUUCUUUCCAAAUUCCAUCAAAUUUCCGUUCAAAAUUUGUGUUAUUAUCAUUCAAUAGUGUCUUGUGAUUAUAUAUUUCCAAUUGUUUUGUUCUAAAAACAAUAUAGUAUUCGUUAAGCUGAUAACAAACUUAACCUGAAUCGUCAAUGACCGGGUUUCGGUUUUAUCACAUUCGCAGAUCCAAGUAGCGUAGAUAAGGUACUAACGCAAGGCAGCCACGACCUUGACGGCAAAAAGAUAGAUCCCAAAGUCGCCUUUCCUCGACGAGCACAUCCAAAGAUGGUCACGAGGACAAAGAAAAUAUUUGUGGGGGGCCUCUCGGCCCCGACCACGUUAGAAGACGUCAAAAACUAUUUCGAGCAGUUUGGACCGGUAAGUUUUUGCUUGGAUUACCUAUCGAGAAAUAAUGUGAAUGUCACAAAGUAAGUUUUAUCAAAUCUUCCUAUUUAAAUUAUUUUUGUCAUAGUCAUUCAAUUUCAGCUGUUUUCCAUGCAU